UCGUCUUUAAAUUUCAACUAAAAUGAAAAAGGAACAAAUAACAUUUUUCAUACAAUGAAUCGUAUUUCUAGACAAAUUAUCAUGCAAGUAUUAUACAAUUUAUUCUUUUUUUUUAGACAAUUAUUUAUAUUUCUUUUAUUCUAAUAGACAAUCUGACAAUGAAAAUAGUUUUGCUGUCUGUCUCUAAUGCGAUGGUAACGGAAGUAACCUUUUAUUGUGUCCGAAUGCUCGAGUCUGAAAAAUUACGUAAAAUCGGCGGAUUGUGUGACGUAAUGAAGAAACACAGAACAAAACGAAUAUCACGAAGUUUAUCCUUUAACAAUGAAUCAUCUUUUAUAUUUUUUUUCUUUCUUUCACUCGUCAGACCACAAUACUUCCGGUGAGUAUCAAACAUUCUUAAAUUUCCACUUCGUGUUGACAAAUAGAAUCCUUUUGAUUUCGAUCUCCGAGCCAGAGAUCUCACAUAGGAACAAUCAAGGAAGGUCAAAAAAGAAAGGCUAUUUCCUUGGGAAGCAGUUGAUCAUAUCUCGAAUGAGAUUUCUACACGAAUACGAUUGAAAUAUAAUGGUUUGCAAAUCGAUCAUGAUUCGAACUUACGGAUUGCGAAUUCAUACAUAUUAUUCGAUGUACGAUUAAUAUUCAUGUUAUAUUGUCAUUGAUUUCGAUCAAAUAGAUAUCAUUUCAAUUUCUAUAUUGAAAUUAAUGUGAUAGUAACUAAUUCAAUGACUCGAUGCAUUCUAUUCCCCAAGUACAGGACCAAUGGAAUUCAGAGAAUCUUCUUUUCGCAUCUUGGAAUCUUUACGUGAUAAUAUUCGUAACGGAACACAUGAUUGUUAAAAAGCGUCUCAUGAAGCGGAGUCAGGAACAACCAAAAGCGGCGUACAAAGGAUGAGGAAAGAAGCGGUUGAAUCUUUUAUCAACUUCAGAUCGUUGUCCAUGAACCCCAGAAUGCUGUUUUUUGUGAAAAAGAAACCUGUUAAUCUAUUUACUUCUGAAACUUCCUUCUCUUUAAUUCGAGCUCUAUAAUUGGAAAAUAUCGUCAAAUCAGAGAAACUUCUAAGUCCGAGUAAUUCUUGUGAUGCAGCAUGCAUCCACGAGACGUGAUGAAAAUUAAGAAGAAAAAAGACCAACGAGGAUUGCGUGUAUCAUUUGCGUAAAUUUCGCAACGAUGCUAUUAUAUCGUCUCGCGUUGCAAAAAGAAUCUUAAAAAGAGGAAGUAAUUAAUUGUUAGAGUUAUUCAAUGCAUUCUGAGUUAAUACUAAUUAAUUUUUUUUUUUUUAGAGAGAUUGUCCAUUUACGAAAAAUGCAAAUAUUCUUUGCAAAAAAUUUAUAUAGGGUAUAAAUUGAUGAAAAAGAUUAUUUUUACGUUAAAAAAGGAUAUUGUAAUUUUCCUUGAGGUAAAAGCAACAAACUUGUGCAACCCUAAAACGAAGACCAUCAAGCGAAGAAAUCGUACCUAGGAAGUUGAGGACAUCAUGGAGAGCCAGCGGAACAACAUUUAGCAGAGACAUUACAACGUGUUUCAUUAUUUUUUAAGGAGCCAAAGUCGUCGAUUCUCCGUCCUCUCUCUGUAUCUCUUUCGCUCUUUAGCUGUUCAUGUUUCUCUAUGGAAACGAUGCCCGAAGCACGUUUUACUUGGUUAACGACCCUUUCGUGCCAGCGAAUAAAUUCCAACUGCCCACGUAGACUACUAUAUUUAUUGAGUCUCUGGGAUCGAUGUUAAAGAGGGGCAUAAAGUAGUCGAAGAUCAAGUUCAAGAGCGACAGAUCGGCGAUCGGAUUACGAAAAAGAAGAAAUUCUCGAAGAUAACUCUUCUCUGGGCCAAGGACUUUUUCAAAAAUUUGCAUUCGCCUAAUUUAUGUUUCUUUAUCUUUGAUCUAAAUGCUAUGAAAUCGGUUUUUAUAGAUCGUAAACAAUUUAACAACUCUUUACCACAUAAUUUCUUUUUCCCCAGGCAUAUAAUUAGUCGUUGAUUGUUCUGAUGAGAUCAAGAUGACAUAAACAACGUCGAGUAUGCUACCAUGAAUUGAAUUGAAAAAUUCUAGAGGAAGAUAGACAAAUUUUUAUAUUUAUAGACUUGAAAAGUCAAAUUUGUCAGCGUU